rnacentral:lncRNA from 1 species
ACCUCAUCUGCUGAAAACAAGUGUUGGGUUAAAAGCUGGCACUAAUUAUCCAGUCGUAUAACUCACAAACAGUAUGUUCACAGGCUUUGCUUCUCUUUGAAGGGCUUCUUCCGACCUCAUCACCAGGAGCCCUUCCCAGAUCUCAAGUUGUCAGAUCCCCAGUUCUUCCUGCAACGUGAUGAGAUGCCGGGGUCCUUAGGCCUGUCGGGACAGAUCCUCAGAACUCAGCAGCUCUCCCCUUCCCCAGUCCAUGCCAAUCAGGCUGGACUGGGUCUUUCUUUGCUCUGAGGCCACUAUGUUCACAGAGAAGGCAGAUGAGAAGAUGGAGAAGCAGUGGCCAAGGAAAAAAGGAGUCUUUGUACAGGAAAGUCCUCUGAAGGCUAAUGCAGGGUCGCCUGUGGAUUCCUAGGACUGCCAUAACCAAGAACCACAAACAGGGUGAUUGAAAACACCUGAAAUGUAUUGUCUGACAGUUCUGGAGGCCACAUGUCCAAAAUGAAUGAUCAGCAGGACCGUGCUCUCUCCAGAGCCAUCUAGGCAGACAGACCCUGCUUUCUUCUUCCAGCUCCUAGUGUUGCCAGCCUCCUCUGUGGCACUGCUUGGCUUGUGACUGCCCACUCCAGUCUCACGGCCACCUUCUCCCUGUGUCUCUUCACAUCAUCUUCCCUCUGCAUGUCUAAGUCUGUGCUCAAAUUUCCCUUUUGGGGGGAGGGUGGACUGGGGAUUGAACUCAGGGGCACUCGACUGCACCCCAGCCCUAUUUUGUAUUUUAUUUAGAGACAGGGUCUCACCGAGUUACUUGGCGCCUUGUCAUUGCUGAGUCUGGCUUUGAACUCAUGAUCCUCCUGCCUCAGCCUCCUGAGCUGCUGGGAUCACAGCCAUGUGCCAUCGAGCCUGGCUAAAAUUUCCCCUUUUCAUAAGGACACUCACUUAUCCAAUUAAGGCCCAUCCAUAUGAAUUCAUUUAACUUCACUACCUCUGUAAAGGCCCUACUACCUCUAAAUAAGGUCACAUUCUGAGGGACUGGGGGUCAAGACUUCGACAUGCCUUUUGGGGGAUAGAAUUCAACCCCUAACAACAUGGGAGGAGCCAAUUUAAUCGCCAGUGUCAGAGAGGAUCAGCCCAUGGCGGAGUUCCUGCACCCCCACGCCUCACGAACCACACAGGGCCUCUGUGCACAGACCCUAGGGAUAUUCCCAGUGAACCAAAGUGACUGCUAUGCUGGACUUGACCUAUCCCCUCAGAACAACACUAGAGAGGCAGAGUUGGACGUCCCAGAGGUUGCUGCCUGCUGGUCUGUAAUCUUGGGCUCCACAAAAGAAUAGGGCAGGAGGAGGAGUUGGCUGUAUCAGGAGAAGGUGGAUUUCCGGUCACUGGAGGUGUAGUACUGGGUACAAGGUAUAUAAAGAAAUAUGCUUAUGAGGGCUGGGGUUGUGGCUCAGUGGUAGAGGCGAGGCCCUGAGUUCGAUCCUUAGCACCACAUAUAAACAAAUUUUUAAAAAGGUAUUAUAUCUAACUACAACUACAAAAUAAAUAUUCUAAAAAAAUCAGAAAUAUGCUUAUGAAUACAUAAGCACUGUCUCUGGCUUCGUAGAAGUGUUUGCUCGGGGCUCAGACUCAAGAGGGAGUCACAGCAGUCCACCCUGUGGCUUCUCCUUUCAUGGGUGCUCUCUGUGGGGAAGAAAACGUUCGAAGCAUCCAGUACCUGCAGGCUGUCCGCUGCCUGAUGGGCAGGAGAUCAAAACAGCAUUUCAUUCUUUUAUCCACUACUGAAAGAAAGGGGGCAGGUCUAGAAGAGAGCCCCACUCCGUUCACCUCCCAAGUGCAGGCUUCACGGCAGGAGAAUAGUUUAGAUGUUAAUCAGUGAGAAUGUUAGUUAUGUCACUUGCUGAGUUCAUGCAAAUUUGCUAAAUAAUGCUGAUAAGUUUAGUUUGUUCUUAAAAUAUAUGAAGGCAUUUCAAAC